GAUGAACGCUGGCGGCGUGCCUAAUACAUGCAAGUCGAGCGAACGGACGAGAAGCUUGCUUCUCUGAUGUUAGCGGCGGACGGGUGAGUAACACGUGGAUAACCUACCUAUAAGACUGGGAUAACUUCGGGAAACAGGAGCUAAUACCGGAUGAUAUUUUGAACCGCAUGGUUCAAAAGUGAAAGACGGUCUUGCUGUCACUUAUAGAUGGAUCCGCGCUGCAUUAGCUAGUUGGUAAGGUAACGGCUUACCAAGGCAACGAUGCAUAGCCGACCUGAGAGGGUGAUCGGCCACACUGGAACUGAGACACGGUCCAGACUCCUACGGGAGGCAGCAGUAGGGAAUCUUCCGCAAUGGGCGAAAGCCUGACGGAGCAACGCCGCGUGAGUGAUGAAGGUCUUCGGAUCGUAAAACUCUGUUAUUAGGGAAGAACAUAUGUGUAAGUAACUGUGCACAUCUUGACGGUACCUAAUCAGAAAGCCACGGCUAACUACGUG
rnacentral:rRNA from 1 species